rnacentral:lncRNA from 1 species
CAAGGCCAGUCUGGGCACCUGCUCUUUUGCACAUUAAUAUAAUAAGCUUUAACAAGAAAUACAUGUUAACUUUCUCAGGAUCAAAGGAUUCAGAAGGCUAUUUUGCUCUCAUUUUAUCCUUAGGCUUCAGCAGAAGAAACACUUCCUAUAAAUCUCGCCCAAACAGGAAAGGACAAAGAUGCAUGCAUAAGUAAAAAUAUGACAGGUCACAAUCACGCCGGGGUGGUCCUGGGGCGAGGCCCAAGUUCCCUGCACGCACCGGCACAAGCACGCACACUGUGAUGGGGAGGACGUUUACGUACCAUGUCCACACCACUCCAGACUUGCAAACCUGAAAAUACACUAUCCUCCAGCUAUCAGAAUUAUAUUGAGAUCUACUCACAUUUAUGAUGAUGUUCAGAGAUUCAUCAUUGGGAAGGAAAAUGCACACGCUGCGGCGGUCUUGCAUGACUCUGUUGUGGAAAUUCAAUUUGUUCAUUGUGUUUUGGGCUCUCUGGGUGGUCAGGGCUGGGCUCUGGGUCCUUGGCAAUUCCUCAGGUUCCCAGCACUCCAAAGCCAAGCUCACCUCCUCAUCACACGCCCUGCAGGAGAAGCAUCAGGGUGUCCGACUACGUGGGUUUCAUAGCUGUGGAAAAGCCAAAGGGGAGACUCCUGAAGAAAGGCGGUGAAGACUGUGAAGAGCGGGUCAGGAAGAUGAGCACAGCACUGCUACUCCUGUGGGCACAGGGACAGCAUGUCUCCAGCCAGCGCCACCUUGUUUAAUACAUGGGAACUCACUGAAAUUCAUUCUGUAUUUUGCCCACAAAGUUUUAAAGCUUUCAUCCACAGUCAGGAAUUAAACUUAUACCAAUGAGAGCCUCACACAUUCAAGGAUGUACUAAGCACUACAGGCCUCACAGAAACAGAGAUCCCAUCUUGGAGUUUUCAGUCCCACAUGGGAGAUAAAGGGUUUUGAACAUGAAAUGACAAAAACAACAGCAAGAAGAAAAUUCUCGUCCUUUUUCAUUACUAUCAAACUCAAAUAAAUGUCUUGGCUCUUACAUUACAUUCAUUCUUCAACCAUUGUGGUCUGGCUUCCACUUCCUUCACUUCACCAACAUGGCUCUGCCAAAGGAAGCCUGUGAUCUCUAGGCCAUCACUUUAAUUGAUCUCUCUACAACAUUUAUCCUGGUCGUUAAGCCCUCCUUACAACAUUCUUCUCUCU